rnacentral:rRNA from 1 species
ACAUGCCUACAACAUAACAUUAAUGCACUCGAUCCCAUUAGAACUCCACAAUUAAGUGCGCUUAGGAUAGAGUAGUACUAGGAUGGGUGACUUCCCGAGAAGUCCUAGUGUUUUACAUGCC